rnacentral:rRNA from 1 species
GAGGCAGCAGUGGGGAAUUUUGGACAAUGGGCGCAAGCCUGAUCCAGCCAUGCCGCGUGAGUGAAGAAGGCCUUCGGGUUGUAAAGCUCUUUCAGACGGAAAGAAAUCGGUGUGUCUAAUACACGCACUGGAUGACGGUACCGUAAGAAGAAGCACCGGCUAACUACGUGCCAGCAGCCGCGGUAAUACGUAGGGUGCGAGCGUUAAUCGGAAUUACUGGGCGUAAAGCGUGCGCAGGCGGUUAUGUAAGACAGAUGUGAAAUCCCCGGGCUCAACCUGGGAACUGCGUUUGUGACUGCAUAACUAGAGUACGGCAGAGGGAGGUGGAAUUCCACGUGUAGCAGUGAAAUGCGUAGAGAUGUGGAGGAACACCGAUGGCGAAGGCAGCCUCCUGGGCCAGUACUGACGCUCAUGCACGAAAGCGUGGGGAGCAAACAGGAUUAGAUACCCUGGUAGUCCACGCCCUAAACGAUGUCAACUAGUUGUUCGGUGAGGAGACUCAUUGAGUAACGCAGCUAACGCGUGAAGUUGACCGCCUGGGGA